rnacentral:rRNA from 1 species
UACGUAGGGGGCAAGCGUUGUCCGGAAUUAUUGGGCGUAAAGAGCGCGUAGGCGGUCCGAUAAGUCGGCUGUGAAAGUCCAGGGCUCAACCCUGGAAAGCCGGCCGAUACUGUCGGACUAGAGUUCGGAAGAGGCGAGUGGAAUUCCCGGUGUAGCGGUGAAAUGCGCAGAUAUCGGGAGGAACACCAAUUGCGAAGGCAGCUCGCUGGGACGACACUGACGCUGAGACGCGAAAGCGUGGGGAGCGAACAGG